UACGUAGGUGGCAAGCGUUGUCCGGAAUUAUUGGGCGUAAAGCGCGUGCAGGCGGUCCUUUAAGUCUGAUGUGAAAGCCCACGGCUCAACCGUGGAGGGUCAUUGGAAACUGGGGGACUUGAGUGCAGAAGAGGAAAGUGGAAUUCCAAGUGUAGCGGUGAAAUGCGCAGAGAUCAGGAGGAACACCGAUGGCGAAAGCAGGUACCUGGACCAUUACUGACGCUCAGCUGCGAAAGCUAGGGGAGCAAACAGG
rnacentral:rRNA from 1 species